GCCGAAAUGGUGGAAUUGGCAGACGCGUUGGACUCAAAAUCCAAUGAGGUAACACUCGUGUGGGUUCAAGUCCCACUUUCGGCACCA
rnacentral:tRNA from 1 species